GUCUGAUUAAAUGACAAUAGGCAUGUUCGAUAACUCAUUCUAUUGAUAAAAUAUCGAUUAUUUCCUGAGAAUCGAUUAUCGAUAUUUUCAAAAAAUCAAUGUCAAUCGAAUGUUUGAUCGAUAAUCGAUGAAUAUCGACUGUUAAUCGAUAGAUAUCGACUGAUAU